ensembl:lncRNA
CUCUCUCUCUCUCUCUCUCUCUGAUCCUUGCUUGCCCUUGGAACCCAGCCACCAUGUUUCAAGGAAGAGCAACCACAAGAAUAGCCACAUGUGUGUGCUCCAGCUGACACAGCUGACAACUGUAGCUAGGACCCCAGUCAACAACCAGCAUCUGCUGCCAGACAUGUGAGUGCCUGAGGCUCCAGAUGAUUUGAGUCUCCAGGCUUCAAGUAUUCCAGCCAAGUCCUCAGACAUGUGAAGCAGAGGCAAGUCAUCCCCUUCCAGACGAUAUGAAUUCUUGACCCACAGAAACCCCGAGAGCUUGUUCACACAUGAAGGAAUGUGCGGGAAUUCCCAUCACAGAGUUUUCUUCAGGUUAAUUAUGGAAGCACUAAGUGUAAAGCUAAAAAACACCACCACAGUUGUUACAACCUGACUCAGGAAACAUACUAAUUCCUAUAUGAUUAGUGUCUAAGUGUUGUCCUAAUUGAUGCAAUGUUCUUGCCAUGUUCUUGAUUCAUCUACUGUACAGUGGGAAAUACUGCAAAUACAAAAAUUUCAACCUUUGAGGAGCCUAGUAAGUGAAAGGGCAUCCAGCCAGGCCCUGCGAGCAUCCAAGGUAUCCUCUACUCUGAGUCAGAUUUGCAUGCAUGCCUGCUUGGGAACAAUGCAUCUGUAACCAUCAUCAUCAGGACCACAACAACAAAAAGCAUUGGAGAGUCAGUAUAGAAUACUAGUUGAGAACAAGGGAUCUAGACCCAAGCUGCUUGGGUUUCAAUCCCAGCUCUGCCAUUUACCUGCUGAAUGAGUGCUCUGGUUACCUAUCGGUGUAUAAUAAGCCAC